rnacentral:rRNA from 1 species
ACCGGGAUAACCCUGGGAAACUGGGGAUAAUACUGGAUAGGCAAUUUUUCCUGUAAUGGUUUUUUGUUUAAAUGUUUUUUCGCCUAAGGAUGGGUCUGCGGCCGAUUAGGUAGUUGGUUAGGUAAUGGCUUACCAAGCCGUUGAUCGGUACGGGUUGUGAGAGCAAGAGCCCGGAGAUGGAACCUGAGACAAGGUUCCAGGCCCUACGGGGUGCAGCAGGCGCGAAACCUCCGCAAUGUGAGAAAUCGCGACGGGGGGAUCCCAAGUGCCAUUCUUAACGGGAUGGCUUUUCUUAAGUGUAAAGAGCUUUUGGAAUAAGGGCUGGGCAAGACCGGUGCCAGCCGCCGCGGUAACACCGGCAGCUCUAGUGGUAGCAGUUUUUAUUGGGCCUAAAGCGUCCGUAGCCGGUUUAAUAAGUCUCUGGUGAAAUCCUGUAGCUUAACUGUGGGAAUUGCUGGAGAUACUAUUAGACUUGAGACCGGGAGAGGUUGGAGGUACUCCCAGGGUAGAGGUGAAAUUCUGUAAUCCUGGGAGGACCGCCUGUUGCGAAGGCGUCCAACUGGAACGGUUCUGACGGUGAGGGACGAAAGUUAGGGGCGCGAACCGGAUUAGAUACCCGGGUAGUCCUAACUGUAAACGAUGCGGACUUGGUGUUGGGGUGGCUUUGAGCUGCUCCAGUGCCGAAGGGAAGCUGUUAAGUCCGCCGCCUGGGAAGUACGGUCGCAAGACUGAAACUUA